ACUCCAACAAGUGAAGCUUGCU
rnacentral:miRNA from 17 species